rnacentral:rRNA from 1 species
GACGAACGCUGGCGGCGUGCUUAACACAUGCAAGCCGAACGGAAAGGCCCUGCUUUUGUGGGGUGCUCGAGUGGCGAACGGGUGAGUAACACGUGAGUAACCUGCCCUUGACUUUGGGAUAACUUCAGGAAACUGGGGCUAAUACCGGAUAGGAGCUCCUGCUGCAUGGUGGGGGUUGGAAAGUUUCGGCGGUUGGGGAUGGACUCGCGGCUUAUCAGCUUGUUGGUGGGGUAGUGGCUUACCAAGGCUUUGACGGGUAGCCGGCCUGAGAGGGUGACCGGCCACAUUGGGACUGAGAUACGGCCCAGACUCCUACGGGAGGCAGCAGUGGGGAAUAUUGCACAGUGGGCGGAAGCCUGAUGCAGCAACGCCGCGUGCGGGAUGACGGCCUUCGGGUUGUAAACCGCUUUCGCCUGUGACGAAGCGUGAGUGACGGUAAUGGGUAAAGAAGCACCGGCUAACUACGUG